rnacentral:rRNA from 1 species
CCUACGGGAGGCAGCAGUGAGGAAUAUUGGUCAAUGGACGAGAGUCUGAACCAGCCAAGUAGCGUGAAGGAUGACUGCCCUAUGGGUUGUAAACUUCUUUUAUAUGGGAAUAAAACGUUCCACGUGUGGGAUUUUGUAUGUACCAUAUGAAUAAGGAUCGGCUAACUCCGUGCCAGCAGCCGCGGUAAUACGGAGGAUCCGAGCGUUAUCCGGAUUUAUUGGGUUUAAAGGGAGCGUAGGUGGAUUGUUAAGUCAGUUGUGAAAGUUUGCGGCUCAACCGUAAAAUUGCAGUUGAAACUGGCAGUCUUGAGUACAGUAGAGGUGGGCGGAAUUCGUGGUGUAGCGGUGAAAUGCUUAGAUAUCACGAAGAAUUCCGAUUGCGAAGGCAGUUCACUGGACUGCAACUGACACUGAGGCUCGAAAGUGUGGGUAUCAAACAGGAUUAGAUACCCCUGUAGUC